AUCGGACUCGUGGCCCAACCUCCCACCCUUGUCUCUAUACACCUGUUGCUUUGGCGGGCCCACCGGGGCCACCUGGUCGCCGGGGGACAUCUGUCCCCGGGCCCGCGCCCGCCGAAGCGCUCUGUGAACCCUGAUGAAGAUGGGCUGUCUGAGUACUAUGAAAAUUGUCAAAACUUUCAACAAUGGAUCUCUUGGUUCCGGCAUCGAUGAAGAACGCAGCGAAAUGCGAUAAGUAAUGUGAAUUGCAGAAUUCCGUGAAUCAUCGAAUCUUUGAACGCACAUUGCGCCCCCUGGCAUUCCGGGGGGCAUGCCUGUCCGAGCGUCAUUUCUGCCCUCAAGCACGGCUUGUGUGUUGGGUGCGGUCCCCCCGGGGACCUGCCCGAAAGGCAGCGGCGACGUCCGUCUGGUCCUCGAGCGUAUGGGGCUUUGUCACUCGCUCGGGAAGGACUGGCGGGGGUUGGUCACCACCAAAAUUUUACCACGGUUGACCUCGGAUCAGGUAGGAGUUACCCGCUGAACUUAAGCAUAUCAAAAGCCGGAGGAAC
rnacentral:rRNA from 1 species